GAGUCCAAUCCGAAGAUGGGGAGCGGUGUGGGUGGACGAUGAGCUUGGUUUGGGCAACACUCCAAGGAAAGAGACAACGAGGGAGUGACUAGAGGGGAAAAUUAGCAGGGUCUGGGCGAUUUACUUCCUUAUUCUAUUUUUUUGGUUGAAAAGUGGCAACCGGAUUAGAUUAUGUGACCGUGAGAUUCUGCUAGGAUCGACGGCUUUCGAUAGGUCCGAUGCUUCACUUCUGAUCAAACUACUUGGUGGGAGUGUUUCCCAUUCAUUUGGCAAGCAUGACAAUUCCACGCAAAAAGCUGAAAUCAUUUUUCAUGGCAAUUUUUAAAAUUGACAUUCUCAUUAUAAUAUAUAUUUUGCAUGUUCAUUUUUUAACACAAUACAGACGAAAGCGCUCAUAUAUACGCGCAUACACUCGCCCCUAUGAAUGCACACACGCACACUCUAUCCCUAUGUGCAGAUUCGAAAGACUGAGCCAUGAACGUCUCCUCACACCAAAAGCACAUCGUUGAAAAUCCUAAAAUAAAUUCAGAAAUAAUGUGAAAAUAAUGCGAGUAUCAAAACUUAAACCCUGGUGGUGGGGAUACCGCUGUCUUUCUAAUCAAUCCAACCGUUGGUUCGCAUUUGCACGUCCGAUUUGUCACGUAGAAAAAUCUGACGUUUGAUUUGUAUCUUUUCCUCGCCUACAACCGCCAGAAAACUGGCGCUCACGAAAUUACCGUUGCUCAUAAAAAUUGGAAAGAUAACAUUCGGCGUGACGAUAGCCGCUAUCUCUUCGCUCUCCCUGUCUGACUCUCGCCGGCGCCGCGCCCUCCCCCAGCUGUCGCCUCCGCCGCCGCCGCCAGCCAUGCUUCUCCUCCAGGAACACGUCCUCCUCCUCUCUCUCCGUCCCCGCGCCACGAGUGCCCUACUCUCCUUCCGGCACCGAUGCCUCUUCUCCAACACCCGAUUCGCCGCCGCCGCCGCCGUGGCGGCGUCGGCUAGCCCUGCGCCGUUCGCCGUGGCGGACUACCUCGUCGCGUCUUGCCACCUCACCCCGGCGCAGGCCGUCAAGGCCUCCAAGGUCCUCUCCCACCUCAAGUCCCCCUCCAAGCCCGAGGCCGUCCUCGCCUUCCUCUCCGACCUCGGCCUCUCCGACGCCGACGUCGCCGCCGUCGUCGUGUACGACCCUCUCCUCCUCUGCUCCGAGGUCGACAAGACCCUGGCCCCGCGCCUCGCCGAGCUCCGGGACCUCGGGCUCUCCCCGUCCCAGAUCGCCCGCCUCGUCCUGGUCGACCCCGCCCGCUUCCGCCGCCCCACCAUCAUCUCCAAAAGCUGCAGUACUACGUCCCCCUCUUCGGCUCCUUCGAGAACCUCCUCCAGGCGCUCAAGUACAACUCCUACCUCCUCAGCUCCGACCUGGAGAACGUUGUCAAGCCCAACGUCGCGCUCCUCCGGGAGUGCGGGUUAGGUGACUGUGAUAUUGCCAAGCUAUGCAUCCCCGUGCCGAGGCUGCUCACCAGUAAGCCAGAGCGCAUCCAGGCCAUGGUGGCGCGUGCCGAAGAUGUCGGUGUGCCCCGUGGCUCUGCGAUGUUCAGGCACGCGCUGCUGGCUGUCGCAUUCCUCAGCGAGGAGAAGAUUGCUGCUAAGGUGGAGUUCCUGAAGAAGACUUUCAGGUGGUCGGAAGCUGAGGUGGCCAUUGCUGUCGCCAAGCUUCCGGUCGUGCUGAGGAACUCCCAGGAGAGGCUGCUGCGCAUGUCGGAAUUCUUGAUGUCCGAGGUUGGGUUAGAGCCGGAGUACAUUGCUCACAGGCCGGCAAUGCUCACUUAUAGCCUAGAGGCCCGACUCAAACCUCGGUACUAUGUUGUGAAGUUCCUUAAAGAAAAUGGAUUGCUAAAGCCUAACCGAAGCUUCUACACCGCAGCCCAGGUGAGCGAGAAGGUAUUCAUGGAGAAGUUCAUACGUCCUCACAAGGGAGCUGCGCCUCGCCUCGCUGAAGACUAUGCUGCCACUCUCAAAGGGGAAGUCCCCACUAGAUUUAGAUGCAAGAACCAAGAAGGCUUGAAUAGUAUUUAACUGCUUUUUUGCACAAUGAAGUUUUCACUCUGGAGUCUGCACAGCAAGCUGGCAAGUCCUGUUUCUGUGUUGUUUUUCUAACACUCUAACUGGAUGUUUGGUGUCCACUAUAGUAUGUCACUUGCAGUUUUGGUAGUUGCUAAUAUUUUCUGAAUUCGAAUAUAUGUUUUGGUCGUCAUCCAGUAGAGAAGAAAGCAUGGCACAGUCAUGAAUUGGUUCUUCAUAUGUCAUGCUAACACACAAGUUUCUGAACCUGGCUUGUUCAGUCUGCAUUUUGUACUAAGAUCAGACAACUAUCAGCGUCUUUUAGGUCUCAGUUGGGACGUUAGAAUCGUCCUGUUCCUUUAGGAAAUAAACUUAUUAUUGUUAACUCUUGUGGAAUUCUGCAUUAAAAACAUGCCUUGUAAUGUGUAUCAACAGCUUCCCUAAUACAGUACUGUACAUUACUUAUUA